GCACUUCAGAAAUUUGGUGGGAAUGUGAGAAGAGACAAGAACAUGCUGCUGUCUCCUGACCCAGCAAGCUGUUUUGAAUUCAAAAUUGCACAACAGGGAUUUCACAGGACUCUGGAAAGUGUCUCUGGUGAGCAGUGUGACCAAUGAGGUGGGCGUGGCUUAUUCGCAGCGCGGAGGUGAACACACAAAAACUGGUCUUCCUAAGGAUGUCCACAAGAACAUUCUUCCAAAGAAGCCUGAAAUACUCGACCAUGGCAUGACUGGAUAAAGGGCUGAGACAUCCCAUCUUCCUCAUUACCUCUAUCCCCAAGACCAUAUCCAACCCAAGUACCACUGUACUAUGCAUCCAAAUGCUGAUGAUGAGGAAAUCCUGCCAACAAGUAAGGUUGAGUUCCUUAUUCUAUUUAAGGAGAGCAAGUGACUGUAUACUGGAAGGCAGAAGAAAGGGUUGAGGACAUUACAGAGGAGCAUUUUGAGGUCUUCUCUGUUGUGGAGAAGAUGGUUGACAGCAAAAGAAUAACAAGUGAAGAAGCAAUUCAAUGAGAAAUGUGA